rnacentral:rRNA from 1 species
AGAAUCAACGCUGGCGGCGUGCCUAACACAUGCAAGUCGAACGAGAAAGUGGAGCAAUCCAUGAGUAAAGUGGCGCACGGGUGAGUAACACGUGACUAACCUACCCUUGAGUGGGGAAUAACUUCGGGAAACCGAGGCUAAUACCGCAUAACACCUACGGGUCAAAGGAGCAAUUCGCUUAAGGAGGGGGUCGCGGCAGAUUAGUUAGUUGGCGGGGUAAUGGCCCACCAAGACGAUGAUCGGUA